GUGCUGUGGUGAGUGCUGAGCAAGCCAUGUGGCCCUUCGCGGCUGGAUGCCUGCCCCGUGAACACAUGCGCACAGACUGCAGUGCUGGGCAGGUGGCAGUCCCGGGACGCUGGCAGAGUAGCAAGGCCCUCACUGGGUGGAAUGGUCAUGUCCUCCUGACACAGGUCCCGCUUCCUCCGAGACCUGGCUGUACAGCAGGAACCGAUCUGGCUGCCAAGAGGGGAAUUAAGGUUGCUAAUCAGCUGACCUGAAAUGGGGGAAUUGUCCUGUUACCCGGUGGUCCCAGUGUAACCUCAUGAGCUUUUGGACGUGGUCAGAGACACGGCGUGGGAUGGAUUCCACCUACAGCGGCUGGCUUUGCAGAUGGAGGAGGCAGUCACCAGGAAUGUGGCGCGGCUUCUAGAAGCUGGGAAAGGCCUUCUGCGGAUGGCUAACAGGAGAGCAAGGCCUUGCUCCUGCAUCCGCCAGGAGCGGAAUUCUGCCGACAACUGGAGUGAGCAGGAAAGGAGUUCUCCCCUCGAGCCUCCCGGAAGGGGCACAGCUGGCUGACGCCUGGACUUCAGUGUGAUGAGACCCAUGCCGGGUUUCUGACCUUCAGAACUUCGAGAUAAUGAAUGCAUGUUUUAAGUUGUGGUAAUUUGUUACAGCAGCCGUGAAGAGUGGGGGACUGUGCCGAGGGAUGUCUGACAGGGAAUGGCCGGUGGCCCAGCACCUCCCUCAGCAGAGUCCUGCUCUUGGAUGUGGGCAGGAUGUGGGCAGGAGUGCCUUGGUCAGCGGCCUUGCGGGGGAGUCACUGGGUAACCUCCACAAAGUGUGUUUAAACCCAGGGGACUGAAGUCAGCUCGGAGGGUUCUUCUCGUGUCCUAUGUCCUGCUCAGGCCUAGGAACCAAAUAGGGCCCUGCCUCUUUCCUCAGAAUGUUGGCUGCUGCCUCUGGCCGCCUUGCUUUCUGGUGUUUUUUAUAAAUCUGUAUUGCCUUUUGCUUGUGUUUUGAAGAGAUUGUUUAUUGGGUAAGAACUCUCAGUCCUGUUUCCCAUGCAGAGGGAAGCCCGGGAGUCUUGGUCCGGCAGUGAUGGUGUGUUCCCUGCCGGCUGGGUUUCUCUUCUUGUUAGUGAGUGGACAUGACCUUCCUGUGACGGGGGCCGCGGAAACGCUGGUGGGUGAGAUUUUGCUGUAGGUGCAGUUCCUUUUCUUGUUCCUUUCAGCGGUUACUUUCCAUGUUAUUAAAUGUCUUACUUUGUCCAGAAACACUUUGAAAAAUAAAUUGAAUGUGAAUCAUA